AGAGAGGUAGCGAGGCUGGAAGCGCCGCUGGAGGAGCUACGCGCGCUUCACUCCGUGCUGCAGGCAGUGCCGCUCAACGAGCUUCGCCAGCAAGCGGCGGAGCUGCGCCUCGGCCCGCUCUUCUCCCUGCUUAACGAGAACCAUAGGGAAAAGACUACUUUGUGUGUAUCCAUUCUGGAGAGAUUGCUUCAAGCUAUGGAACCAGUUCACGUGGCCCGGAACCUCAGGGUUGACCUGCAGAGGGGACUAAUUCACCCUGAUGAUUCUGUAAAAAUCCUCACUCUUUCCCAGAUUGGAAGAAUUGUUGAAAAUUCUGAUGCUGUUACUGAGAUUCUAAAUAAUGCUGAAUUACUAAAACAAAUUGUUUAUUGCAUUGGUGGAGAGAAUCUAUCUGUAGCAAAAGCGGUGAGUCUACUAGAAUCAUUGACUUAAAUGUGCAGAGACAUCAGUGUCCCAAAAGAUAAAGGCCUUCUGAAUUGAGAGUGAAGGUUUAGAAUGGAUGAUUUGCGUAAUGGAAUUUACAACUUCAUAUGGAUUGUGUAAAAUAAAUGGUUGUCAAGUA
rnacentral:sRNA from 1 species